CUCUUCCUACAGAAAGCACAGUGUCGUCCCUUCUUCCUAAGCCAAUUAUAAAUGAAGAAAAUGCCAAUAAUGAAAGUGAAGUUGCAGAAGAAGUUGAAGAAGCAAGCCAUGGCAUUGGCAGUAACAGCAAGGAGGAAGGGAGAUUGUUUAGCUCAUUUUCUUUUGAAGACUAUGCUUGGAGAGUUUAUCAUGAGCCUCUCCUCCUGAAAGACCCACUUGAUAAAUACCGUAUAAUUAAUUAGCUAGAUUAUUUUCAUUCUCUCUC
rnacentral:misc_RNA from 1 species